UACGUAGGGGGCGAGCGUUGUCCGGAUUUAUUGGGCGUAAAGAGCUCGUAGGCGGUUUGGUAAGUUGGAUGUGAAAUCUCCAGGCUCAACUUGGAGGGGUCAUUCGAUACUGCCAUGACUAGAGUUCGGUAGGGGAGUGUGGAAUUCCUGGUGGAGCGGUGAAAUGCGCAGAUAUCAGGAGGAACACCAAUUGCGAAGGCAGCUCGCUGGGACGUAACUGACGCUGAGACGCGAAAGCGUGGGGAGCAAACAGG
rnacentral:rRNA from 1 species